GACAGAGGUGCCAAGCGUUAGGCGGAGUCACUGGGCUUAAAGCGUGUGUAGGCGGAAUGGUAAGUACCUUGUGAAAUCCCACGGCUCAACCGUGGAACUGCUGGGUAUACUGCUUUUCUUGAGCCACUUAGGGGCUGUCGGAACAAACGGUGGAGCGGUGAAAUGCGUAGAUAUCGUUUGGAACGCCAAUGGUGAAAACAGACAGCUGGGAGUGUGCUGACGCUGAGACACGAAAGCCAGGGGAGCGAACGGG
rnacentral:rRNA from 1 species